rnacentral:rRNA from 2 species
CUUACCAUGCAGUCGAACGGCAGCACGGGGGCAACCCUGGUGGCGAGUGGCGAACGGGUGAGUAAUACAUCGGAACGUGUCCUGUAGUGGGGGAUAGCCCGGCGAAAGCCGGAUUAAUACCGCAUACGCUCUACGGAGGAAAGGGGGGGAUCUUCGGACCUCUCGCUACAGGGGCGGCCGAUGGCAGAUUAGCUAGUUGGUGGGGUAAAGGCCUACCAAGGCGACGAUCUGUAGCUGGUCUGAGAGGACGACCAGCCACACUGGGACUGAGACACGGCCCAGACUCCUACGGGAGGCAGCAGUGGGGAAUUUUGGACAAUGGGGGCAACCCUGAUCCAGCAAUGCCGCGUGUGUGAAGAAGGCCUUCGGGUUGUAAAGCACUUUUGUCCGGAAAGAAAACUUCGGCCCUAAUACGGCGGGAGGAUGACGGUACCGGAAGAAUAAGCACCGGCUAACUACGUGCCAGCAGCCGCGGUAAUACGUAGGGUGCAAGCGUUAAUCGGAAUUACUGGGCGUAAAGCGUGCGCAGGCGGUCCGCUAAGACAGAUGUGAAAUCCCCGGGCUUAACCUGGGAACUGCAUUUGUGACUGGCGGGCUAGAGUAUGGCAGAGGGGGGUAGAAUUCCACGUGUAGCAGUGAAAUGCGUAGAGAUGUGGAGGAAUACCGAUGGCGAAGGCAGCCCCCUGGGCCAAUACUGACGCUCAUGCACGAAAGCGUGGGGAGCAAACAGGAUUAGAUACCCCUGGUAGUCCACGCCCUAAACGAUGUCAACUAGUUGUUGGGGAUUCAUUUCCUUAGUAA